UCUGUUUACUCUGCACCCGACAACAACGAGAAUCGUUACAGGCCUAGAUCAUAUCUCCAUUUAUGACGUCAAUAAUCAAAACUAUAUUAUUUAACUUUUUACUCUUUUCUAACAUUAUCAUACAAUUUGUAUUAUAGGACCGUUUUAUACAACGAUACAUUCAUACAAGACAAAGCCUGUCGAAUGUUGUAUGGCACGUCACACCAAUCUUUAUUUGAAGAAUAUUUCGUACUGAAUCGAUACUGUAUUAACAAUUAUAUAAGAUUCAUCCAUCAUUCAUGAAUAGUUGAAUACAUUAAACUUUCCAGUAUAAGUCCAUACAAAAUAAUAUUAGGCAUAAACACUUGAACCACGAUAACUGAUGAAAUUCAUCUGCUAUGGCUUUCAGUCCCAGAAAAUUAUGGGACAAAUUAAACAAGUCUCGAACUUCUUGACGCAGGAAAAAAAAAGGAAUUGGGAUGAAAAAUUCGUUCUUAAUAAACUUAAGAAACAACCAAAGCACAUAUAUUUCGAUUAAUCUCGAGUCUUGUUACAAUGGUUGUAUUAUGUUGACAGAUUUCAACUCAGUUUUUUUGUACAGUAAGUGUAGAUACUGUCAUUAAUUAAGCGAUUGACACUUAAAUUUUGGUCCAUGAAAAUUCAUGCACAGCGCUUCUAGUUAGUUAACAUAUAUACCUAAACAACAUGCAUGGUUUAAGUUCGGGGUGGUGUUGAUAUCUAAUCCAUUCAUUUCAAAAUCUGGUUGAAAACAUCUUUCAAAUCUUCAAUAUGACUAGAGAGGUUGAUAUGUAGAAUAUAGAUUUGUUAUAAAGAAGGAUCUGAUAAGUGUACUAAACACUUUUUUACCGUAUAAAGAUUGAAGUCAAACAAAAAAAGGAGGAGUCAAAACAAAAUAAGGCUCUUUGUGAUUACCCCACAACGAAAAUGAAACAACACACACACUUUGUCUCCAGAUUCCUUUCUUUUGUCAUUUCUCGUGUUUCUCCCAAAGUAUUCAACAAAAACACAAUCCUAGUUAUUCUCUAAUAUCUCAAAAGCCAAAUAAUACAACAAAAGAGUAUUAAAUAUAAACAAAGAUCCACAUUCACGGCAGCACAAUUUUCUUAAAAUAUAGCACUAAUGGCAAUGCAAUUAUAUGUCUACUCUACAUUACAUGUUUUAUAGAUGAGCUAGGCCUACGUUCUUAUAAUUCACAUUCAUCAGAGAAACAAAGAGUCUAAGAUGAAAAAUGAUCAUGAACAUCAUUAAGUAGACCUGAAGAGACAAUUAGAGAAACAAAAAUCAGUUUUAAUCUUUACCUCUUCGGUGGAUGAUUUUUUUCAUAUAUUAUUCUCUUUGGAGCCAAAAUUAAUCCCGAGUCGAAUCAAUUGACACCUAUACUGAACUAAAAAAGCAAAAGACAAAUCUACACACAAUGAAACUAUUAUAUUUCUCCAAAUCAAAAGAAGAACUAUUAUGUUUCUCUUUCUUUUUCUCCUUUGUUUUCCAAAAUCAUCUACAAAGAUGAGUUGGUAGGGUCCAGUCACAGUUGAUUCUCUGUCAAUGUAUUAUCUUCUCUCUCACCAACACACUCACAACGACAAGAGAGAGAUAGAGAAAAGAGUGAAGAGAGAGAGAAUUGUAGUCACCAAAUAGACCAAACCCUGAAGUUAAAUUCACACCAGCUACUUUGGUCAUUACCACAUCCAUAAACACACACUCUCUCUCUUUGCCUCUCUCUCUCUCUCCUCUUCUCAAAGCUUUCAACUUCCUUCAAUGGCGAAAGGAAAUUCACAUGACUUCACCUCCAAGAGACACAAUAGUUUCCACUGGACACGAAAAGUCGGUUCAGAUGAAAACGACGACGUUUCUUCCAAUAACCCACUUCCUGACAACACUAAACCCGUUUCCAAACACAAUCCUUCCUCUUCCUCUUCCUCUUCCUCUACUGUAAUCACUCCAAAAAGGAAACUACAAUCCUUCGCCGUUUCUCGUCUCCGGUCAGUCAUCGCUUCUCUCAGCAGAGCCCGACCCGGUAACAACUCCGGACUCGGGUCACGGGUCGUGGGUACACUUUUCGGAUCCCGUCGCGGACACGUGCAUUUCUCUAUCCAGAAAGAUCCAACUUCCCCUCCGGCGUUUCUAAUCGAACUCGCUACUCCGAUCAGUGGUUUAGUCAAGGAGAUGGCUUCGGGACUCGUCAGAAUCGCUCUGGAAUGCGAUAAGGCCAAGGAGGAAGAAAAAGAAGAAGGAGAAAACGGAAAUCGCCGUCACGGCGGAGGAGAUAAGACGAAGACGGUGAUUCCACGGCGGUUGGUGGAGGAGCCGAUUUGGAGGACAUAUUGCAACGGCAAAAAGUGUGGGUUCGCGACGAGGAGAGACUGUGGUGAGAAGGAGAAAAAGGUCUUGAAGGCGCUCGAGAUGGUUUCCAUGGGCGCCGGAGUUUUACCGGACACGGAGGAGACAUUCGCCGGCGGCGGCGGCGGUGGCGGUGGAGAUAUAAUGUAUAUGAGGGCGAAAUUCGAGCGAAUCGUUGGGUCGCGUGAUUCUGAAGCUUUCUAUAUGAUGAAUCCUGAUAGUAAUGGAGCUCCUGAGCUCAGUAUCUAUCUACUCAGAAUCUAAUGAAGAAGAUGAUCCUACCAAAAGCUUCUACUUCAAAAAGAAGGUUUAACGGUUAAGGAAAAAUUUUCCGGUUUAAUUACUUAAAUAGUUGGUUAAGUGGUUCUUUCGGGAAUUAAAGUAGCGAUGUCUAAUACUCAAAUAUUCGUAUUUGAAUCGAAAACGACAUAUCUGUUAUUGCAAGUCGGAUUAGAUGUGAAUGUAAUCGAUCGAUCGAUAAUGUGUUAGAGCAGGUUUUUGUUUUUUGGGGGGGUGGGUUUAGAAGUUUUAAAAUUUGGUAUAUGAUUUGGACCGGAGGACUUGUAAAUGUAUAAAUUUCGUUUUUUAAUGCCUAAUCUUUUGUUUUUCUUCAAAUGUUUAUGCUAUAAUGGGGGCACCGAGCCUGUGGAAUCAUAAUGAUUAAAGUCUCGAUUUGUUUCACAUUCCAUUAGUAUCCUGGUCACUAAAUUAUGCUUUAAAGUGUAAUAAAACCAUCAUUGAUUUUCUCUGAUCCAAGAAUAAUAAUAAUAGACUGAAUUGUAUGGACCAUUUGGAGUUUUGGACCAUACAUUGUAAAGAGUACGCGUAUCGACUAUAAUGACGCAUUAUACUUAGAGAUUUUGAUAUUCCGGUAUGUGGGUCAAUCUAUUAAAUUUCCAUAAUUCGGUAACAACUAGCUUACACACACUGAUAUAUUAGUUAUAAAAUAUCGAUUUUUUCCUUAAACUAAAAAGGAAUAUAAAGCUUGAGAUACACUGUAAUAAGAUUCAUCAAUUACUUUGGGUGUUGAGAACUUGAGAUUGUCUUCCAUGCUAUUAUGCAAUUAGGUGAUUAUAGUAUUUACAACCAAAUUACAAGUAUAAUCUUUAAAGGGCAUUCUCGUCAUUCAUAUAGAAUCAGACGACGUACAAUGUUUUACUGGUGUCGUAUGUCUUUUCCCUAGUUUCAAGGCUUUACCUUUUUUGGUUAUAUCAAACUCUAUAUAGUAUUUAAAUACCGGGAGCCUCUGUUUCUUUUUAUUUUCAUGGUAUAUAUAUUUUUUUUUUUGUCAACUUAUUUUCAUGGUAUAUUAAUAUUCCAAAAUCUUUUGUAAAUUAAGGAAACAGUAAUUCAUAAUUCGGAAACAGAAGAGUUAAGCAAAUAAAUGUGAAAAUAAUAAAUAAUCCUACUAGAUAAUUGUUUCCAUAAUAAACUUUGUCUUUCCCCAGAAAAAGCAGGCGCUUGAACAUUCACAAAGCCCAGAUCCGAUUAAGAUUACACUGCACGAUACUCAAGGGACGUGUCUUCUUUUUUUUUUCUUUUUCUUUUAUUAGCGUUAAAGAACAUGUUUACUAAUAAGAAGAAGAAUAGAAUUUCUUCAUGAGAAUUUGCAAAAGAGACAAAAGCUGGUGCCUACAACAAUUAAGUUUAUAAGAAAAAGAGAAGGAACAAAAAAGCAUGUUGAGUCGUUGAUUGCUUUAUAUCCUUAUGCAGUUAAUAUACGAAAUUUGACUACAGUUACAAGCCAUCUCUUUCUUUUUACUAUUAUCUUUAAGAAAAGUUAGUGUUUAGCAGUGUUAUUUAGUAUAAUUUGAGAUAUUUUUACUGUUUGUUUUACAUAUGUAUAAAUGACACUGAGUGUUAUUUUUAGAACAAAUGUGUCAUGGUUAUAUCGAGUGUUCGACUGUCUUAAGAAUUUAUCCCAUUAGUCAUUACUAUUAUACUUAGGUAGGGUGUUAAUUCUUUUGAAUUUGUUUACAUCUUGACUGAUAUUACCAAUUAUUAGCUAGUUUUCAAUUUUGACACAUGUUUGAAUACCUUAAGCUUCGGCUUCUAUUGCCUAACUAAUUACUAUAUAGAAGGGCAUGGUUUGAAACAUGGCAAAAGAUGCAUGGUUUGAAACAUGACAAAAGAUGCAAACCUCACUUCGCAUACAUCACAUCUAUUAAUUUUUGGAUAUAAAACACAAUUCUGACGAAAUUUUGGUAGGAACAAAAUGUUAUUUUCAGCACUCUCUUAUCGUUUUUAUAACUAUUUUCAUGAGGUUUUGACCGUUUUGUAGUCGCGUUGCAGUAACAAAUAUAUUAUACUCUACUAGUAAGUACCACAUGCCAAUUCAUGGAACAUUGUUUCAAGAUAUAGAGCCAUACCACUUGUAUGACAUGCCAUGUAGACUCGAAUGAGUAUUCUUCACAAGAACCUUGAAUUGGUUUGUCUUCAAGCAAAACUUGAGGACACGCGAGUGAAGACUUUGCAACUGAGUCAAAGUUGUACUCUCCCUCUAAUGCCAUCACAAUCUUUCCUUAUGCAAACUCCAUCAGCUGAGAGAACAUUGGUGAUAACAUAUUAAAUGAGGUCGAAUCCAAGUGUAGAUUGUGUAGAUUAUGUAGCGCAACACUUGGCUAAAAAACCAGCCAAAUCAAGUAGUGUAUUCAAAAUUUUAGUUUUCAAUUUUUACUAGGAUUUAAUUAUAAACACAUUACAUUAAGUUGCAGUGACAUACCGGAAAAAUAUAAUUACAUAAAAGAAAAGAAAUAAAGAAUAGAUAUUGUGAUAUAACAAAUAAAUAGUUUAUGCUUUUAUGGUUUGUAAUAAAGGAUUGUAGACUAUAAUAUUUCUAUCGAAUAGAUUUGAUGCAACUUUCAUGCAUCACCUGAUCAAAAUUUGUGCACACAGUCAAUAUUUUUUUGGAUUCAUGGUGUUUAAAAAUGGUUCAUAUGGUUUAUGGUUUGAUUUUAAUAUUGGAGAAAAAGACUUACAUGUUAAAAGAGCAUAUUAAACAUUUAGUUCUACAGUAUUCGCCUUAUGAAUAUGGUUUGGAAAAAAAUUCAUGUGCUUAAAACAAACCACCUUUUAUGCUUUUGAAUCUAUAUACGGCUUAUUGAUGAAAAACCAGUGAUCUUCUUAAAUUUGGGUUAUGAUUGAGCCAAUAGUAAUCACUCUCGGACGUAUCCAUUUAUGGUAUAAACUUUCUCCUUCAAUGCGUUAAAUAUUACUUUAACAUCUUAGGCUCCUAACUAUGGUUAAUCUAAAUAUCACUUGAAAACACCUUAGACUCCUAAAGUCCUUAUUAUGAUUAAAAAUACUUUUAAUUUGAAGAUUGGAAACUUCUCAAAAUUAAUAAAUCUUAUGCCAUGAACCAGAUUUGAAUUGGUGACACAAAGAUUAAUGGAUCUCACACGAUGUAUUUAACUAUUAUUUAUUAUGGUCUUCUGAUUACGGCUCACUAUUCGCUAAAGUCUGAUAAAAAUACACCUAACCGUCCGGUUUGGUAGUACAAUUUCGUUUUCACAUUAUCCGAUUUGUGGGAUAACUCUAUAUUCCACAUUUUCGUAUAACUGAAAUUUGAUUCUCUAGAAAACCGAGCAACCAGAUUCAUAUAUAGAUAAAUCAAAGUCAAAAUCCAAGUCAUUCAUUAACCAACAUAAAAACUACUUAAAGUUAAAGUUAAACUAAACCAGAUCGGUUCUCAAAACCAGACAAGCUAAUAAAAACAUAAAAAUUAUGUUAGUAAUUUGGGUACAAGGGAAUCAUUCAUGAGAGCGACCGUCUUUUUACUAAAGAGCAAUAUUAGAGAUUUGGAACUUAUAAAGGUUGUAGAAAAGGUAAGUGAGAUUUACUGUUUUAUAUUUUCUGAUGGAAACUUAGGUACUCAUCUUCAUCUUCUUGGCAUUCGUAUGCAUUAUUCCUUCAUUCACCUCAUAUCCAUCUGGAUCCCAUGUCCUCCUCUGAGUCAGUGUUCCAUGGAUAAUUUUUCUCUCAUUUUGUGUAUCUUCUUCUUCCUCAUAGUCUUUGAAUCCUAUUGUUUGCCUUAUCCAUUGCAGCAAAGUUCCUGAUUGCCAUCACUGUCAUAUCCACUGCUUGUUAUCACUAAUUUAUUUUUAGAUUAUGUAUUUAAU
rnacentral:lncRNA from 1 species